GCGAUCUCGCCACGCCUGGAUCGCCAACACCCACGCCCGACUUCCGCAAUUACAGCGAUGCUGCUGCGCCUCAGUCGCAUUCGCCGCCGUGUGCCCACGAUCGCGCCGCCGCUCUUCUCAGGCGUCGCCCGGGACGAUCCUGCCAGCAAGAGGUGCGCGAGGAUUCACUGAUGACGACCACGUUGACUGUCGCCGCGCUCGACGUCCACUCCGCGGGCAUCAGCGUCUCCUUCCCCAAUUCAGCCGACGCUCCUCCGCCAUCUCGAUCUCCAUCAAUUCUGAGCCACGGUCCAGUUCAUUGCUAUUGCAUGAUUCCGUUGAUGUUCUCUUUGUUUCCCAUGCACCAAUUCAAUCUUCUGUCACUGUAGCAUCGCGGCUAGGAUACUUCAUCGUACUUGUGUGAUCCACGCCCUACUCCUGUGGCGGGAUCUGGCCGCAGCCUGGACGCCUCCACGAUCGAUGACUGCAUGAGAGAUGCUGCCAGCGUUCGCCUCCGUGAGGACCGCAAUGGUGACACCUACAUAAAGCUCGGCCAACACAUCACGCAGCUGGUACGGAAUUCAACCGUCUGUAUCGACAGUUGAUACGUUUGCAGGUUCAAUUUGUCUGUUAGAUCAUGUAAUUUUCUUAGCAGCUACUUGUUCUAAGGGUAUGUGGCGUGUUAGAGGAAUACGUCCAACUAUGAGGGAUGCUGACGAGAUGCCCAGUCCGCUGGGAUGUUAAGGUUCCUUUAGAAGAAAAGACUGCAGUUUUGCUCGAGUCCACUUGUCUUGUAUUUGAACUUCUAAAUUAUGACAACAAAGUUCAGAAUUUUUUUUCAGAUUUAUCCAGAUUGUUGUUUCCCUUUCACCUUUUUACCACGUCUUGACUUACAGGUUUUUUUUUCGAGAAUGUCUUGACUUACAGGUUCAACAUGACCACUUAGCAUAUACUUCUGUAAGAGAAAACGCCACUGGGGAUUUAUCAGUGAAUGCUCUUCAUUAUAUCUUCUCUACAUUUGACUACAGAUGCAUGUAGCAGUUCCAUGGUCCUGCUCCGCUUCUCGCUCGGUGGUUUAAUCUUGAGUUCCUCAUGUGGUUCUCACAUGAGAUAGGAUGAUCUUCCCUGAACUUGAAGUCUCAGAACCUAUUCAUCAGCUAAAUCUCUCACAUAGGAUGAGAUUCGCACUUUGAUGCUGAUGCGGCAAUAGUGAGAGUGCGAGAGUAUUACUGGAGCAAAUAUCAUGCCUGCCCAAGUACAAGGAAAACGAAGCUCAAGAUUGAAAAGAACGCUGCUGCCGGGAGCUGUAAGAUAUUUUUAACAAAAGAUAAAGACAUGAAUCAUGUGAAGAAAAAUAUUUGUCUAUGCCUGAUUUUGAACGAUUUUUUCUUAAAAAUCAUCUAAAUCUGUGUUCUUUAUGCAAAUAAUUUCCUUUAGGUUAUUGUUAUAUUGAAACUUCAUUCGAAUCUCAAAUUUAACAUAACCUCACGAAAGUAGCAUCAUUAUAUCUUGCAAAUGUUUGGCUUCACGAUUACUGACUGGCGUACCUAGACUUAUUUAGCCCAGAAACUGGGCAGGAAUUUCAGACGGCUGAAAUUUGAACUGUUUCAUGUUCUGAUUUUUAUUUUCGGAUAGCCAUUGCAAGGCUCCAGUU